UAAGGAAUAUUGCGCAAUGGGCGAAAGCCUGACGCAGCGACGCCGCGUGGGGGAUGAAGGUCUUCGGAUUGUAAACCCCUUUCGGGAGGGAAGAUGGAGUGGGGUAACCCAUUCGGACGGUACCUCCAGAAGCAGCCACGGCUAACUUCGUGCCAGCAGCCGCGGUAAUACGAAGGUGGCAAGCGUUAUUCGGAUUUACUGGGCGUACAGGGAGCGUAGGCGGUUCGGUAAGCCCUCUGUGAAAUCUUCAGGCUUAACCUGGAAAAGUCGGAGGGGACUGCUGGGCUAGAGGACGGGAGAGGAGCGCGGAAUUCCCGGUGUAGCGGUGAAAUGCGUAGAGAUCGGGAGGAAGGCCGGUGGC
rnacentral:rRNA from 1 species